UACGUAGGGUGCGAGCGUUAAUCGGAAUUACUGGGCGUAAAGCGUGCGCAGGCGGUUCGUUGUGUCGGCGGUGAAAGCCCCGGGCUUAACCUGGGAAUGGCCGUCGAAACUGGCGAACUGGAGUGUGGCAGGAGGGGGUGGAAUUCCGCGUGUAGCAGUGAAAUGCGUAGAGAUGCGGAGGAACACCGAUGGCGAAGGCAGCCCCCUGGGCUGACACUGACGCUCAGGCACGAAAGCGUGGGGAGCAAACAGG
rnacentral:rRNA from 1 species